UACGGAGGGUCCGAGCGUUAAUCGGAAUUACUGGGCGUAAAGCGCACGCAGGCGGUUUGUUAAGCUAGAUGUGAAAGCCCCGGGCUCAACCUGGGAGGGUCAUUUAGAACUGGCAGACUAGAGUCUUGGAGAGGGGAGUGGAAUUCCAGGUGUAGCGGUGAAAUGCGUAGAGAUCUGGAGGAACAUCAGUGGCGAAGGCGACUCCCUGGCCAAAGACUGACGCUCAUGUGCGAAAGUGUGGGUAGCGAACAGG
rnacentral:rRNA from 1 species